UGCCCCCUGGCCCAGCUGGUUAAGGCGCAAGACUGUUAGGAUACUUCGUUUCGACGGUAGUUCAAUCUUGAGAUCGUGAGUUCGAUCCUCACGGGGGCAG